rnacentral:rRNA from 1 species
AUGGGCAUGAUUCUGCUCCCUGUUUUCGCCCUCCUGUUACUGAUUUGUUUCUGCAACUCCAAGGAUCGCCUAACACCUGCAAAGCCACUCUCCAUCGGCGACAGGCUCAUCUCAAAUGGUAGCAUCUUUGCUCUUGGCUUCUUCUCCCUGAAAAACUCAACUGCAAACUCAUAUGUCGGCAUAUGGUACCACAACAUCCCCGAGCGAACAUAUGUGUGGGUCGCAAACCACGACAGCCCUAUCACUGGCAGCUCCUCUGGUAAGUUUGUUCUGACCAGCAGCUCUGAUCUUGUCUUGUUAGACUCCAAAGGAAGCACUCUUUGGACAACCACGAACAACAUCACCACUGAAGCCACCGGAGCUGCUGCCAUGCUGCUGGACUCUGGGAACUUGGUUAUCAGGUUGCCGAAUGGCACAGAUAUAUGGCAGAGCUUCCAUCACCCAGUCGACACCAUUCUCCCAAAUAUGAGUUUACAGCUGAGCAACAACAACAACCUCUCCAUGCACCUCGUUGCCUGGAGAGCCCCUGAUGACCCAUCUACGAGUGACUACUCCUUGGGUGGUGACUCAAGCCUCCAGAUCCUCGUUUGGAAUAGGACGAGGCCAUACUGGCGCAGGGCUGCGCUGGAUGGUGUAUUGGUCUCUGCCAUGUAUCAGAGGGAAUCAGGUCCCAUCAUGUCCCAAACAAUUGUCAACAGAGGUGGUGAGUUUUACUUGACGUACACUGUCUCUAACGGCUCACCAGGCAUGCGCAUGGUGCUGCACUACAUGGGCAUGGUGAAAUUCCUGGCGUGGAACAACAACUCAUUAGCUUGGGAGGUUUUCUUUGAGCGGCCCGGUCCUAGCUGUGACCGCUAUGCUUCAUGCGGCCUGUUUGGCUAUUGUGAUACCACGCAUGCAGUUGCGACGUGCAAGUGCCUUAAUGGAUAUGAAUCUAUUGGUCUUGACUUUUCCCUAGGAUGUCAGAGAAAGAAGCAGCUGCAUUGUGGUCAAGGAUAUAGUUUCGUUACCUUGCUUAACAUGAGGACUCCCGACAAGUUCAUGGUCAGCUCACUACUACCAGUUUUGCUCUCCCUACUUUAG